rnacentral:rRNA from 1 species
CCAGCACCCGCGGUAAUUCCAGCUCCAAUAGCGUAUAUUAAAGUUGCUGCAGUUAAAAAGCUCGUAGUUGGAUCUUGGGAGCGGGCGGGCGGUCCGCCGCGAGGCGAGCCACCGCCCGUCCCCGCCCCUUGCCUCUCGGCGCCCCCUCGAUGCUCUUAGCUGAGUGUCCCGCGGGGCCCGAAGCGUUUACUUUGAAAAAAUUAGAGUGUUCAAAGCAGGCCCGAGCCGCCUGGAUACCGCAGCUAGGAAUAAUGGAAUAGGACCGCGGUUCUAUUUUGUUGGUUUUCGGAACUGAGGCCAUGAUUAAGAGGGACGGCCGGGGGCAUUCGUAUUGCGCCGCUAGAGGUGAAAUUCUUGGACCGGCGCAAGACGGACCAGAGCGAAAGCAUUUGCCAAGAAUGUUUUCAUUAAUCAAGAACGAAAGU